AUGUCGCUCCCCACCGUGACUGGGCCAGGAGGGGGGCAGGGGCUACCCACCGAGUCGGGGCUAGUCCAAUCAGGCCGAGUGGCCGGUUGCGAGCCUGCGCCUCGGCCCGGGCCCAGCGUGACGGAGAAGCCGAGGCCGUCUCCUCCUAUUAAUAGGUGGAUGUGGGUUCCGAAAGGAACCCUAGAUCUAUCGCUAGGGUUUCCUGCCUCUCCCACGCAGGUGCGGCGCUUCGGACAUCUCGCGUGUCGUCUGCUCCGAUCCGCCCCUCCUCCUCCCCUUUCGUGCUCAUACGCCACUGUGGUGCGGAUGGGGUCCCGCCGGAGUGACAAGCCCCCCAUGUCACCCCCGAUCCCGGCGGCGGAGCGCCAGCGUGAAAAGGAUCUGCGGGCGAAGGCGCUCGCCAAGGAUCAGGAGAUGUGCCAAGUGGUGGUGGGCAGCAACGAGACGGGUUUCAACCAGUACGGAUCCAACAUGACCAUGAGCCUUGACAUCGACAAGGGCGUCUCGGCGUCCUGCGACUCGGAGGGCCGCUCGACGCUGGUCUCCCCGGUGGUUGCGCUGGUGGACGCGUCAGGGGCUGUGGCAAGCCCUCCCAAGGUGGUGACCGGCAGUGGCGGCGGCGUGUUGAAGCUUCAGAAGAAGAUGGCGGGCCGCAAACCACCUGCGGUGGAGCCAGCGGGCACCCCCGAGGUCCGUGCGAGCGUGUCAGUCCAGAGGCCGGUGGUGAUGGCACUGGCCUCUCCAGGGGGGCGUGCAGGGGACACCCCAUCGGUCAUCCCCCCCCCCAACCUCCGGAUGCUCUUCGGAUGCCAUUAUCGAUUUUUUGGUAAAGCUACUGGAGUUGCCAGUAAAGCAUGCAAAGCGGCAAGAGUUGGCUGCUCAGUUUUUCUUGUACUGCCAAGAUGGAAGAGUAGAUGA
rnacentral:rRNA from 1 species